rnacentral:rRNA from 1 species
CCUACGGAAGGCAGCAGUGGGGAAUAUUGGACAAUGGGGGGAACCCUGAUCCAGCCAUGCCGCGUGUGUGAAGAAGGCCCUCGGGUUGUAAAGCACUUUCAGUGAGGAAGAACGCCUGGUGGUUAAUACCCAUCAGGAAAGACAUCACUCACAGAAGAAGCACCGGCUAACUCCGUGCCAGCAGCCGCGGUAAUACGGAGGGUGCGAGCGUUAAUCGGAAUUACUGGGCGUAAAGCGCGCGUAGGUGGCUUGAUAAGCCGGUUGUGAAAGCCCCGGGCUCAACCUGGGAACGGCAUCCGGAACUGUCAAGCUAGAGUGCAGGAGAGGAAGGUAGAAUUCCCGGUGUAGCGGUGAAAUGCGUAGAGAUCGGGAGGAAUACCAGUGGCGAAGGCGGCCUUCUGGACUGACACUGACACUGAGGUGCGAAAGCGUGGGUAGCAAACAGGAUUAGAUACCCCGGUAGUC